CUGGUGGUCGGUGAGCAGGGAAGAAGAGGAAUCAACCGGGGGCUGCUCUGUGCUGGGAGAAGGAAAAAUCAGGGGAACAGGGGACGGUGGAUCUGUUUAGGCUGAGGGAGAUGCCGGGUCCGGUCUGUGGGGAUGAGGAAGGGAGAUCGGCGGCGGCUGGUUCUCUGGUGGCGAAAGAGAAAUGGAUGAUGGAGGGGAUGCGGCUUCUCUUCUCUUUUGCAAAGGUUGGGAAGGUUGAGAGCUGAUGACCAGAGGAAAAGUGAGGACCGAAAAAAAUUCGAACCGAGGAGGGCGGCUCCGGAUCGGUGAGGGAGAAGAAAAUAUGUUAGGGUUUCUUUUUUUGUGUUUUUGGUUCCUCUCACCAAAAUUACAUAAAUGACCCCCCC
rnacentral:lncRNA from 1 species